GAGCAAGGAUUAAAAAGAAAAAGACCUCCAACUGCAUGCCAGAGUAACGGAGAGACUUGGACAACCCAGGUCAUCACAGUGCCUGCUGUUGCCACUCAGCUCUCCUAUAUGU